CGCGUCAGUCGGCGCUCGGCGACUGGAGGUGCUACGCGCUUUGCGCCGCGCUCCAUACCGCCGGAGCGUGGCUCGGGGCGUGGCGCUUACGUAAACACGCGUGGCACACAGUUCGUGCUACGGGCGGCGCGGUGCCGCGCCACUGUCCGUCCUAGAACGACCCCAUGUCGGCCCGCGCCGCCACCUGAGUUUAUGAGGAUAGCUGCACGCACGCUGUCGCGCCGCCGCCGCUGCCACUACCACCACCGCCGUAUAUCGCGCUUAUAGCAUCAAGAACAGAGAUGCAGGCGCACACGGCGCUGAUGGCGCUGGCGGCGCUGGGUGCGCUUUCAGCGGCUACACCAGAGCGUGGUGGCGGUAUCAAAGUGGGCGGCGGUGCAAUGGGCAGCAGUGGGCGCGACGGUGCCCGAGGCGGCGGGGUGCGCAUAGGCGGCGAUGGGCUGCGUCGUCCGCGCACCUCGCCUGCGCCGCCCCCACCCCGUGCGCCGUCUGUCAUCACAGCCGCUCUUGUUGUACCGCACAAAGCUUUCGGUUCACGUGAUUACACUAAAGCCGAAAAAGCAGCAUUAUCAAAACUGCCACGCAAACUGAAACUCUUCUCACAAGUGCGCCUAAAUGUCACGCUUUCAACGCAAGGCCUGACGCCUAGUCCAAUGUCUAUCCUGGACUCAUUAUGUAAAGAUUUUCUAGCAGUCAACGUAUCUGCUAUCCUUUAUCUUAUGAAUCAUGAACAAUACGGGCGUUCUACUGCCUCUGCACAGUAUUUUCUACAACUUGCCGGAUAUUUGGGCAUACCGGUCAUUGCGUGGAACGCAGAUAAUAGUGGUUUAGAGAAGCGAGCGCCACAUGCUUCUUUACGUCUUCAGCUGGCCCCGUCCAUUGAACAUCAAACAGCUGCCAUGCUGUCUAUAUUAGAGCGUUACAAAUGGCAUCAAUUUAGUGUUGUCACGUCAGCUAUUGCGGGACAUGACGAUUUCAUACAAGCAGUUCGAGAACGAGUCACUGCACUACAGGAUCGAUUCAAAUUCACAAUACUAAAUGCUAUAGUAGUAAAACGUUCGUCAGAUCUGAAGGAAUUAGUAACGAGCGAAGCAAGGGUCAUGCUGUUGUACGCAACACGUGAAGAGGCCGCUGAGAUCUUGUCCGCUGCUGGUGACUUGCAUCUUACAGGAGAAAAUUUUGUGUGGAUCGUCACGCAAAGCGUUCUCGGUUCAAUGCAGCAACCUAAUAAAUUUCCCGUUGGCAUGCUUGGGGUCCAUUUCGACACUUCAAGUUCAUCGUUGAUCGCUGAGAUUGCUACAGCUGUCAAGGUAUUUGCUUAUGGUGUCGAAUCAUAUAUAUCCGCGGUGGAAAAUGUUCGGCAUCCACUUGGUACGCGGCUAUCAUGCAGUGGCGCUGGGGCGGGUGAAGCACGGUGGCCCACCGGUGAACGAUUUUACCGACAUUUAAGAAAUGUCAGCGUAGAAGGGGAAGUAGGAAGGCCAAGCAUAGAAUUUACCCCUGAUGGAGAACUACGGGCGGCUGAGCUUAAAAUUAUGAAUCUCCGACCAUCUAUCGGAGAGCAGUUGGUAUGGGAAGAAAUUGGUACAUGGAAUUCGUAUCCAAAAGAGCGUCUUGUAAUCAAAGAUAUAGUUUGGCCUGGUGGUUUACAUACACCUCCUCAAGGGGUACCAGAAAAAUUUCACAUGCGCAUCACGUUCCUUGAGGAGCCGCCAUAUAUAAACUUGGCUCCACCAGACCCAGUGAGUGGACGUUGUUCACUAGAUCGGGGCAUUAUCUGUCGUGUUGCACCUGAGGUUGAUGUUGUAGGGUUAGAAGCUGGGACCGCACAUGGUAAUAGUUCGUUAUAUCAGUGUUGCAGUGGUUUUUGUAUUGAUUUAUUACAACAGCUAGCAGAACAAUUGGGAUUCACGUAUGAAUUGGUACGAGUAGAGGACGGUCGCUGGGGUACACUUCAUCAAGGAAAGUGGAAUGGUCUUAUAGCAGAUCUGGUAAAUAAGAAAACAGACAUGGUCCUAACAUCCUUGAUUAUUAAUUCUGACCGAGAGGCAGUGGUGGAUUUCAGUGUACCAUUUAUGGAAACCGGUGUCGCCAUAGUAGUCGCCAAGCGUACAGGCAUCAUCUCCCCCACUGCAUUUUUGGAGCCUUUUGAUACAGCUUCGUGGAUGCUAGUAGGGGCUGUUGCUAUACAAGCUGCAACAUUUUCCAUAUUUUUCUUUGAAUGGUUGUCACCUAGUGGAUUCGACUGCUCUACAGGACACAAUUCCAAGCGAGUUCCUCAAAAUCGAUUUUCUCUCUGUCGAACUUACUGGAUUGUGUGGGCUGUUCUUUUCCAGGCAUCGGUACAUGUGGAUUCACCGCGAGGCUUUACUGCCAGAUUCAUGACAAAUAUGUGGGCUAUGUUUGCCGUCGUGUUUCUUGCUAUCUACACUGCUAAUUUAGCUGCAUUUAUGAUUACACGGGAGGAAUUUCAUGAAUUAAGCGGUAUAGAUGAUCCGAGGAUAUCGAGGCCCUUGUCGCAUCGGCCGGCACUAAAGUUUGGAACAGUGCCCUGGUCGCAUACAGACGCUACGUUAGCCAAAUACUUUUCCGAGCCACAUGCGUACAUGGCCCAGUACAACAGAAGUACAGUGAGUGCAGGAGUAACGAGCGUAUUGACAGCUGAGCUUGACGCGUUUAUAUACGACGGUACCGUGCUGGAUUACCUAGUGUCACAAGAUGAGGACUGCAGACUUUUGACUGUAGGUUCUUGGUACGCAAUGUCUGGAUAUGGAUUAGCUUUUACGCGUAAUUCCAAAUAUCUCAGUAUGUUUAACAAAAGAUUACUGGAUUUGCGAUCGAAUGGAGACUUAGAGAGAUUACGAAGGUACUGGAUGACUGGAACAUGCAAGCCGAACAAACAAGAGCAUAAGUCGUCUGACCCAUUGGCAUUGGAGCAAUUUCUGUCGGCAUUUUUGCUCCUGAUGGCAGGAAUUCUGCUGGCGGCGCUGUUGCUACUGCUAGAACAUGUUUACUUCCGAUACAUGCGCACACAUCUUGCCGCCUCCAGUGUCGGCUCUUGUUGUGCCCUCGUAUCAUUAUCCAUGGGUCAAUCUUUGUCAUUCCACGGCGCCGUGGUAGAGGCAGCAGCUCGAGGUUUCGGUACCGGAUCUCGGGGUCACUGUCGCUCAGCUGUUUGUGCUGCCCAGGUGUGGCGUGCGCGUCAUGAACGCGACGCAGCGAUGGCUCGCGCCCGCCAGCUGGCGGCGGCGCUGGCGGCGCACGGGCUGCAGCCGCCGCCGCGACGGCUGGCGUCGGCGGCCGCGCUGCUGGCCGGCGGGCUGCCGCACGACGCCACUAGGCCGCGCACGCUGCACGCCACCGCCGACCUCCUCCCGGAUCUCGACCGUCCGCUGUCUUGCGGCGAUUUACGCGCCAGAGAGCGGACACGAGUAGAAAUGGAAACAGUGCUGUGAGGCGCAUAUUGCGCCACCCUAUUUCAAUUCCUGAAGGCUGUUCUUACACCAAGUUAUACAAGACGAAAGAGCUGGACGUAGAUAGCGAAGCGUUGUUGUGGGACGCGCGCGCAGUGCAGGCUGGGCGCCGGGCGCGCGCCCUCGUGUUGUCUACUACAAUAAAAAUAUAUUUUUUGGACAAUAUUACAUUGUUUUUAUACUUUUAGUGGAUGAUAAUUAUUACCUUUGUGAUUUAUUUGAUAAUUGAAUCAAUGUUUAGUGGUUCCUGAAGUCCUAAACAUUUUAUAAGUUAUGUAUGAGUAUGUUGGUUUUCGUAGUUAUACCUACCUAAUUUUUGUGGAUAAGUGAAAGGUGAAUUGGAAUUACAAUGGUUAU
rnacentral:misc_RNA from 1 species